UGUUGAUGCAUCAAGGCUGCACGAUCUAUUUUUUGUUGAGUCAGUUUGUUAAAGUCCUAUUUUGUAGGGUAUUUAGCUGCAUGUUAUCUAUUCUGUUAGUUUAUUGUAGAUUUAUUCUGUUAGUUUGUGGGUAACAUGUGUU